rnacentral:rRNA from 1 species
GACGAACGCUGGCGGCGUGCUUAACACAUGCAAGUCGAACGGAAAGGCCCUGCUUUUGUGGGGUGCUCGAGUGGCGAACGGGUGAGUAACACGUGAGUAACCUGCCCUCGACUGUGGGAUAACUUCAGGAAACUGGGGCUAAUACCGGAUAGGAGCUCCUGCUGCAUGGUGGGGGUUGGAAAGUUUCGGCGGUUGGGGAUGGACACGCGGCUUAUCAGCUUGUUGGUGGGGUAGUGGCUUAGCAAGGGUUUGACGGGUAGCCGGCCUGACAGGGUGACCGGCCACAUUGGGACUGCGAUGCGGCCCAGACUCCUACGGGAGGCAGCAGUGGGGAAUAUUGCACAAUGGGCGGAAGCCUGAUGCCGCAACGCCGCGUGCUGGAUGACGGCCGUCGGGUUGUAGACCGCUUUCGCCUGUGACGAAGCGUGAGUGACGGUAACGGGUAAAGAAGCACCGGCUAACUACGUG